rnacentral:lncRNA from 1 species
GUGAUGGUGUCAUGGAAUAACGGCCAGCGCUCCAUGGAGACAUGAACUUAUCCCAGGGACUGAGGAAUAGGCUAUCUGCAGUCUUGGGGGGUGGAGGCAAGUUGGUCCCACAUGGAAAGGAGGAAGCAGGUGUGUGGGUAAGGUGGGGACCGGGUCUGAAGCCAGGCUGGCCCUAGCCCUUCCCUGGGCAGACACUUUCCU